GGCGCUAUAGCCAAGUGGUUACGGCGACAGAUUAGAAUGCUCACGUAGUUUGCUCGAUCUGUUCCUCUUUGAGGGCGCAGGUUCGAAUCCUGCUGGCGUCG
rfam:Moniliophthora roreri MCA 2997 sctg_0144_0001, whole genome shotgun sequence.